GCAACCUCAUCUUAAGCGAGAACACCCACUGAGUUUAAGCAAUUAAGCAGAGGAAAAGAAACUUACAAGGAUUCCCCUAGUAGCGACGAGUGAAUCUGGAAGAGCCUGGCAUGAAAAUUAGGUAGCAGCUUUGCCUAAAUCAUAGUUUGUAGAAGCGUCCUCAGCUAAAGACCUAGGCCAAGUGCCUUGGAAGGGGGUGCCUGAGAGGGUGAUAACCCCAUUGGUUUAGGACCCUACCGCAUCAUGAGGAGUUUUCGGCAAGUCAAGUUUUUUGGGAAUGCAUCCCUGAUUGGGUGUAAAUUCCAUCCAAGGCUAAAUAUGGGUGAGAGACCAUAUCAAAUAAGUAUCACGAGAGGAAGAUUAAAAUGAGUUUGAAAAGAGAGUUAAAGAUUGCUGGAAAUUGUCAGGAGGGAAGUGGAUGGAGAAUGUUGAUGUGUCUCGGUUGGAUGUGGAAUGGCUUAGGUUGGUCCGCUACUCGACUUGAGGUGCAAACUAACACGGGCUGCUGCAUCAUCACAAGCGUGGGUGUAUUACUACUUGUCGGUUUGUCAUUGCGGUGGUGGAGGAACAAAGCGUGCGGCCUUGUGGUGGGCCGUGUGCACCUAUGUGCUUGUGUUGUUGGUUGGUGAGAUUUCCAUUCGAUGCAUCUUGAAACAUGAACCAAAGAGUCUAACAUGUGUGCAAGUCAAUAGGUUUGAAAACCUACAAGGCACAAGAAAGAUGAUGGGCGAGAUCCCCUCUCUCUGGGGAUGCAUCGUCGACUGACCUUGAGAUUAUACGAAUGGUUUGAGUAUGAGCACACCUCUUGGGACCCGAAAUAUGGUGAACUAUGCCUAAGUAGUGUGAAGCCAGAGGAAACUCUAGUGGAGGCUGGUAGUGAUACCAACAUGAAAAUCGUUCGUCUGAAUUAGGUAUAGGGGUGAAAGACAUCAAACCAUCUAGUAGUUGGUUUCCUCCAAAGUUUCCCUCAGGAUAGCUAGAGCUCAUGUGUGAGUUUUAUCAGGUAAAGCAAAUGAUUAGAGGCAUCAGGGGUGUAAUUCCCUCGACCUAUUCUCAAACUUUAAAUCGGUAAUAGGGUGUGGUUGCUCCAUUGAGCCGUGCCAUGGAAUGGAGAGCUCCAAUUGGGCCAUUUUUGGUAAGCAGAACUGGCGAUGUGGGAUGAACCGAAAGUAAAGUUUUGGUGCCAAAUUUCACACUAAACUAGAUACCACAAAAGGUUUUCUUUGAUUAAGACAACAAGAUGGUGGUCAUGGAAGUCAAAAUCCACUAAGGACUGUGUAAAAACUCACCUGCCGAAUCAACUAGCCCCAAAAAUAGAUGGCACUAAAGUGCGCAACCUAUACUCGACUUUCGGAGAAAUUUCCUAGCUUCAAUGAGUAGGAGGACGUGGGGGUCAUUGACAAACGUCAGGCAUGAGCUUGGGUGGAUUGACCCCCAGUGAAGAUCUUGGUGGUAGUAGAAAAUAUUCAAAUGAGAACUUUGAAGACUAAAGUGGGGAGAGGUUUCAUGUGAACAACACUUGGACAUGGCUUAGUCGAUCCUAAGAGAUGAGGAAGCCUUGUAUCAAGGGUGCACUUUGCAUGGGCAUUGAAAGGGAAUUCAGUUAAUAUUCCUGAACUGGGACAUGGCAGCGGGCGCCAAUGUUAGGAAAUCCAGAGAUGUCGUUGGUGACCCUCGAAAGAGUUAUCUUUUAUUUUUAAUAGCUUUCCCACCCUGGAAUCGGUUCACCUGGAGAUAGGGUUCAGUAGCUUUAAGAGAAAUGCACAUCUUGCAGUGUAUGGUGAACCCUUAGCGGCCCUUGAAAAUCUAGAGGACUUAGUACCAUUCAUUCCCUUUCAUACUCAUAACCACAUCAGGUCUUCAAGGUGAACAACCUCUGGUCAAAAGAACAAUGUAGGUAAGGGAUGUAGGCAAAACGGAUCCGUAACUUUGGGAAAAGGAUUGGCUCUGAGGGCUAGGCCUAGUGGUUUGCACCCUUAACUCAUUGGCUAUUGGUAGUCUACUAGAUCUACUCUCGCAGCGAGGGUGGACAGUCGUGUGUCAAUUGGGCUACAAGCAUAGAAUGCCCCCUACCAGGGGCUUUUCAGUAGGCGGUGAGCAAUCGACUCAUAACUGAUACAGACAAGGGGAAUCCUACUGUUUAAUUAAAACAAAGCAUUUCAAUGGUCCAUAUAGAUGUUGACGCAAUGUGAUUUCUGCCUAGUGCUCUGAAUGUCAAAGUGAAGAAUUAAACCAAGCGUGGGUAAACGGUGGGAAUAACUAUGACUCUCUUAAGGAAGCCAAAUUCCUUGUCAUCUAGUUAGUGAUGCACAUGAAAGGAUUAAUGAGAUUCCCACUAUCCCUAUCUACUAUCUAGAGAAACCACAACUAAGGGAACAAGCUUGGAAAAAUCAACAAGGAAAAAAGACCCUAUUGAGCUUGACUCUAGUUUGACUUUGUGAAAUGACUUGAGACAUGUAGAAUAAGUGGGAGUCGUUUUAUGUGCAAGUGAAAUACCACUAAUUUUAAUGUUAUUUUACUUAUUUUGUGGGGCAGAGAUGGGGCACUACCCCUAUUUUUGGCCUUAAGGCAUGUUUUGGUGGGUCGAUCCAGGCGGAAGACAUUAUGAGGUGGGGAGUUUGGAUGGGGAAGCAUAUUUGUUAAAGGAUAACGUAGGUGUCCCACGAUGAGCUCAACGAGAACAAAAAUAUUGUGUGGAAUAAAAGGGUAAAAACUCAUUUUAUUUUGAUUUUCAAUACGAAUACAAACUGUGAAAGCAUGGCCUAUCAAUCCUUUAUAUUUUUGGAAUUUGAAGCUAGAGGUGUCAGAAAAGUUACCGCAAGGAUAACAGGCUUAUGGAAACCAAACUUUCAUAGCGACGUUGCUUUUUGAUCCUUCAAUGUCGGCUCUUCCUAUCAUUGUCAAGCAGAAUUCACCAAGAGUUGGAUUGUUCACCCACCAACAGGGAACGUGAGCUAGGUUUAGACUGUCUUGAGAUAGGUUAGUUUUACCCUAUUGAUGAACCGCACUAUAAUAGUAAUUCAACUUAGUACGAGAGGAACCAUGGAUUCACACAAUUGGUCAUCAUGCCUAGUUGGAAAGCUAGUGGCACAAAGCUACCAUGUAUUGGAUUAUGACUGAACAUCUCUACGUAAAAAUCCAUGCUAGAAGUGGUGCAUGUCACUCUUUGAUUGUAUCUCGACCCACAAUAGGGGCAUCUCUUUUUCACCCCCAAGGCUCGUGUCAUUUUCAAACCACAAACGUGAAGCGUCUCGGUUAUGGCAACUUUAAAUUUCAAUUCCUAAUGGUCAUUGAGAAUAAUCC
rnacentral:rRNA from 1 species